GAGGCGGGGGAGGCGAGGCCUCCGGGACCGCUGAGCGAGCGAGAGAGCGAGCCCCAGCUGGGGAGGGGGCCGCGGCGCCGGAUCGCGAGCGAAACAGCUGAUCCGCUUUUCCUGUAAAGCGACAGAAAAUGGAAGUCGGCUAAGCGGCUGCGGCUGAGGCGCUGCGGGCGGCAGAGAUCUCUGGGGCCUCGGUCUCACACCUGCUUCUGGGGCGACCAUGGACCAUUUCCAGCGAGGACUGCGUGGCCUCGUCUGAGCACCACACCCUCCAGAGACUCGCAGUGUCUGAAGGUGGAAGUGACACACGAAGACCGUCUGGGCAGAGGCCCCAGCACGUGGAGAAGAGGAGGAAGAAACCGUCUCCUAAUUGGUCCCACAUACAUCAGAUGGAUGGUUUCUAGUCUGCUCCCCAACCCCACCUCGGCUGAGUGCUGGGCAGCCCUCCUACAUGAUCCUAUGACGCUUGAUAUGGACGCAGUCCUGUCAGACUUUGUUCGGUCCACGGGGGCAGAACCUGGUCUGGCCAGAGACCUGCUAGAAGGCAAGAACUGGGACCUGACGGCCGCUCUGAGCGACUAUGAGCAGCUCCGGCAGGUGCACACAGCCAACCUGCCGCCCGUGUUCAACGAGGGCCGGUGUCCCGCUCAGCCGCAGCCACAGCAGCGAGAGCCGCUGCAGCCCACGCACAAGGGGGAGCGGCCCUGUCUGCAGAGACAGGACGACAUCGCCCAAGAGAAGCGCCUCUCCCGGGGCAUCUCCCACGCCAGCUCCGCCAUCGUCUCCCUGGCCCGCUCCCACGUGGCGAGCGAGUGCAACAGCGAGCAGUUCCCUCUGGAGAUGCCCAUCUAUACAUUCCAGCUGCCAGACCUGAGCGUGUACAGUGAGGACUUCCGGAGCUUCAUCGAGCGGGACCUGAUCGAGCAGGCCACUAUGGUGGCCCUGGAGCAAGCAGGUCGCCUGAACUGGUGGUCCACCGUGUGCACGAGCUGCAAACGACUCCUGCCUCUGGCCACGACGGGGGACGGGAACUGCCUUCUACAUGCCGCCUCACUGGGAAUGUGGGGCUUCCACGACCGGGACCUGGUGUUACGGAAAGCGCUUUACACCAUGAUGCGGACGGGGGCCGAGCAGGAGGCGCUGAAGCGGAGGUGGAGGUGGCAGCAGACACAGCAGAACAAGGAGUCAGGACUGGUGUACACGGAGGAGGAGUGGGAGCGGGAGUGGACAGAGCUGUUGAAACUGGCCUCCAGCGAGCCGAGAACACACUUCAGCAAGAAUGGUGGCACGGGCGGGGGCGUGGACAACGCGGAGGACCCCGUGUAUGAGAGCCUGGAGGAGUUCCACGUCUUUGUACUGGCCCACAUCCUGAGGCGGCCCAUCGUGGUGGUGGCCGACACGAUGCUGAGGGACUCGGGUGGAGAAGCCUUCGCACCCAUCCCAUUUGGAGGGAUUUACCUGCCCCUGGAGGUGCCCCCCAACAGGUGCCACUGUUCCCCGCUGGUUCUGGCCUACGACCAAGCGCAUUUCUCGGCCCUCGUGUCAAUGGAGCAGCGAGACCAGCAGAGAGAACAAGCCGUGAUCCCGCUGACGGACUCGGAGCACAAGCUGCUGCCCCUGCACUUCGCCGUGGACCCCGGGAAGGACUGGGAGUGGGGCAAGGACGACAACGACAACGCGCGGCUGGCGCACCUGAUCCUGUCGCUGGAAGCCAAGCUGAACCUGCUGCACAGCUACAUGAACGUGACGUGGAUCCGGAUCCCCUCCGAGACCCGGGCCCCGCUGGCGCAGCCCGAGUCCCCCACGGCGUCCGCUGGCGAGGACGUGCAGUCCCUGGCCGACUCCCUGGACUCGGACCGCGACUCCGUGUGCAGCAACUCCAACAGCAACAACGGCAAGAGCGGCAAGGACAAGGACAAGGACAAGGACAAGCAGCGCAAGGAGAAGGACAAGACCCGCGCCGACUCGGUGGCCAACAAGCUGGGCAGCUUCAGCAAGACGCUGGGCAUCAAGCUCAAGAAGAACAUGGGCGGCCUGGGCGGGCUGGUGCACGGCAGGAUGAGCCGCGCCAACUCGGCCAACGGCAAGGGCGGCGACGCGGCCAAGGACAAGGACAAGAAGGCCAAGGCGGCGCGCAAGGGCAGCAAGGAGGAGUCGGGCGCGUCGGCCAGCACGUCGCCGUCGGAGAAGACCACGCCGUCGCCCACGGACAAGACGGCGGCGGCCGACAAGGCGGGGGGCGCGCGCGCCGACGCCUGGAAGUACAGCACGGACGUGAAGCUGAGCCUCAACAUCCUCCGCGCCGCCAUGCAGGGCGAGCGCAAGUUCAUCUUCGCCGGCCUGCUGCUCACCAGCCACCGCCACCAGUUCCACGAGGAGAUGAUCGGCUACUACCUGACCAGCGCGCAGGAGCGCUUCAGCGCCGAGCAGGAGCAGCGGCGCCGCGACGCCGCCCCGACGGCCAAGCGGCCGCCGCGCAGACCCGAGGCCGACGCCGCCGCCGCCGCCGCCGCCGCCGCCGCGCCGGGGCCGGAACGCGCGUCGCCGGGGCCGCCCGCGCCGCCCACGCAGCUCGUGCUCAAGUUCAAGGAGCGGCCCAGCCCCGGGCCGGCGGCGGGCGGGCGCGCGGGGCGAGCGGCGGCGGGCGGGGCGUGCGCAGGCGCAGGCGCAGGCGCAGGCGCGGCGGGCUCCCUGAGCACGCGGCGCGCGCUCCCCGGACGCAGCCCGCCGGCCCCCGCGCGCCAGAGCGUCAUCCACGUGCAGGCGGCGGGCGCGCGGGACGACGUGUGCGCGCCGGCCGUGGGCGCGCUGCGCCCGUGCGCCACAUACCCGCAGCAGAACCGCUCGCUGUCGUCGCAGAGCUACAGCCCGGCGCGCGCCGCGGCGCUGCGCACCGUCAACACGGUGGAGUCGCUGGCGCGCGCGCUGCCGCCCGGCGCGCUCCCGGCCUCCGCCCCGACGCCCGGCGCGGCCGACGCCAAGUCGCAGACCUACAGCAACGGUUUCGGCGCGGCCCGCGACGGCCUGGAGUUCGCCGACGCCGACGCGCCGGCCGUCCGCGCCUCGAACGCUGAGAGCGGAGGCCGCGGGGGGCCAGGCCCGGCGCAGCGGCGCUGUCAACGCGAGAACUGCGCCUUCUACGGGCGCGCCGAGACCGAGCACUUCUGCUCCUACUGCUACCGCGAGGAGCUGCGGCGGCGGCGGGAGGCGCGCGGGGCCAGGCCCUGAGCUCCCUCCGGCGGCCGCUUGGCCGUUGCGGUCGGUGUCUUUUCUACACGCCCCGGGGCCCCCACUCGUCUGUCCGUGCUGUGUACGUGUCUGGUCAAACGUUCCUAAUGGUGCCUGAACCUCCAUGACGCCACUCAGCGCAGCGACCGGCCUGAAUUUUCCAGGGCGAGCGACCGGGCGGCGCUGCAGCUGCCACCCCCCCCCCCCGCCCCCAGGCACAGGCCGCCCGGGGAGGCCCUCGCGGUGCCCCGGCAGCGCCCCGCACCCUUCACCCCUGACCCUUCACCCCUCACCUCUCACCCCCACACUGCCAUCCAAGCCGCGGGCGGCCCCGAGUGGGCACCGAGCAACCUACCUCGGGGCGGGGAGGCCGCCGAGCUCGUGCCGGCAGCUUCCAAAGACUCCGGGCCGCGGGCCGGGCUCCCCGCUCGCUUCUUGGGAGCCGCCGGGUUCGAGCCCCGUUUCCGAGGACACCUGCCGCCCCGGGCGCCCCCCCCCCCCCCCGAGCGAGCCUCGGUGCCCGGAGAGGCGAGGGGUCGCCCCUUCUUUGGUCACUGUGUCAGCCCACCGCCCACCAGGCUGCUUCGAGCCCCGGCCUGCGCCUCCUUCCACCGCGAGGGGCUCCGGGACCCCGCAGGAAGCCCCCCCCCCACCGCACCGCCUCCGUCUGGGUCCCGCCGGGUCAGGGGCGCCGCCUGUGGCUCCGAACACGUGGAGGGGGGGCAGCCCCGUCCCUGAGCGGUACCCCCCCCCUUUUGGUGCCUCCUACAUUUCUUGAGGAAAAACAAAAACAUAUAUAUACAAACAUAUAUAAAUAUAUAUGUGUCCUUAGCUAACCUGUUCUGAGCAGCAAUAUGCAGUCUCUUCCUUCUAAGAUUACCUCCGGAAAAAUACUUUCCUUGGCCAAGGACCCCGAGGCGUUCAACCUGCCUCGCUAGGAAGCGAUCAGUCUCACCGCCAGGAGAUCGGCUCACUGGGUGGACGCCCCUCUGGCGGCAGCAAAGCUCCUUUCAACCCUGUGCGGGGCGCGGCGGCCCCCGCUGACCCUGCGGAAGGAGCAGCCCCGCCGCUGAGAGCUUGUCCUGAGAAAAUGCAGUAGGUCACCCACCGCCUCAUGACCAGCUUCUCCUCCUCCUCCUCCAGAAACGAUGCUUCUACCCCCUGACAUGCAAAGCAGCAAAAACAACAAACAAAUCAACACACAGGGAGGUGACUUUUUUUUUUUUUUACUUGUUUGGAGAAUUCUAAUAAAUGAAUUUGAGUAUC